rnacentral:rRNA from 1 species
AUUGAACGCUGGCGGCAGGCCUAACACAUGCAAGUCGAGCGCGCGGCGGACGGGUGAGUAAUGUCUGGGAAACUGCCUGAUGGAGGGGGAUAACUACUGGAAACGGUAGCUAAUACCGCAUACCAUCAGAUUUGCCCAGAUGGGAUUAGCUAGUAGGUGGGGUAACGGCUCCCCUAGGCGAGGAUCCCUAGCUGGUCUGAGAGGUUGACCAGCCACACUGGAAAGGAGACAGUGUCCAGAAUCGGACGGGAGGCAGCAGUGGGGAAUAUGGCACAAUGGGAGCAAGCCCGAUGUAGCCAUGCCGCGUGUGAGAAGAAGGCCUUAGGGUUGUAAAGCACUCUCAGCGGGGAGGCGUUACCCGCAGAAGAAGGACCGGCUAACUUCGCGACAGCAGCCGCGGUAAUAC